rnacentral:lncRNA from 1 species
UUGUCAGUUAAAUCUAAUACAAAAUAAUAAAACACACACACAAAAAGAUCCAGGUUUUUGCAGAGCAAACAACCUCCAUGGGUGACUGAGCUGGAAAGAAUCCCUUUACAGCAGUUAUGGACCACACCUUGUUCAUCAGAAUGGUUAGUUUGUAGUUCAGUUUCAAUAACUUUGUGCAAUGCAACUUCUUCGGCUUGAGGCUCUUCCGCUUUAUCAUAGACAGGAUGAGUCGAAAUAGUAGAAGCUGUGCUAUACUCUGAGCUGGCUGGAGAUUCCUCACACAGAUCAGGUGGCCUGCGAUAUAAGUACUAUCAGG